rnacentral:rRNA from 1 species
AUUGAACGCUGGCGGCAGGCUUAACACAUGCAAGUCGAACGAGAACGGAUUAUAGCUUGCUAUAAUUGUCAGCUAUGUGGCGCACGGGUGAGUAAUGUAUAGGUAAUAUGCCUCUUACUAAGGGAUAACAAAUGGAAACGUUUGCUAAUACCUUAUACUCCUUAUUAACAUAAGUUAAUAAGGGAAAGAUUUAUUGGUAAGAGAUUGGCCUGUAUUGUAUCAGUUAGUUGGUGGGGUAAUGGCUUACCAAGACUAUGACACAUAACUGGUUUGAGAGAAUGAUCAGUCACACUGGAACUGAGACACGGUCCAGACUCCUACGGGAGGCAGCAGUGGGGAAUAUUGCACAAUGGACGAAAGUCUGAUGCAGCAACGCCGCGUGGAGGAUGACACAUUUCGGUGCGUAAACUCCUUUUAUAUGAGAAGAUAAUGACGGUAUUAUAUGAAUAAGCACCGGCUAACUCCGUGCCAGCAGCCGCAGUAA